AUUGAACGCUGGCGGCAGGCCUAACACAUGCAAGUCGAGCGGAUGAAGGGAGCUUGCUCCUGGAUUCAGCGGCGGACGGGUGAGUAAUGCCUAGGAAUCUGCCUGGUAGUGGGGGAUAACGUCCGGAAACGGGCGCUAAUACCCCAUACGUCCUGAGGGAGAAAGUGGGGGAUCUUCGGACCUUACGCUAUCAGAUGAGCCUAGGUCGGAUUAGCUAGUUGGUGGGGUAUAGGCCUACCAAGGCGACGAUCCGUAACUGGUCUGAGAGGAUGAUCAGUCACACUGGAACUGAGACACGGUCCAGACUCCUACGGGAGGCAGCAGUGGGGAAUAUUGGACAAUGGGCGAAAGCCUGAUCCAGCCAUGCCGCGUGUGUGAAGAAGGUCUUCGGAUUGUAAAGCACUUUAAGUUGGGAGGAAGGGCAGUAAGUUAAUACCUUGCUGUUUUGACGUUACCAACAGAAUAAGCACCGGCUAACUUCGUG
rnacentral:rRNA from 1 species